UUGAGGGUGGGAGGCACACUAAAGUUCACAGACAUGAUAGAACACAACUGUUAGUUGGGAAACUGAUGUAGGAACAGUUACAUGUGAAGAAAAAAUUCUCAACGUGGUAAUCAAGGUACGACGUUGUGAAGAAUGGAAUGCAUAUGGGAAACCAUUGAAAAUCAUCAGGUAUCUUUUUGCGGUAUGUCGAUCUUUCCUGUCACAUAAAUUUCUUAAAACUCUAAACCUCAGUCACAUGCCCAUCCAAUCCCCUCGUUAGAAAAAACCAGAUUUUGUUUACCACAUGGGUUCCUGUCACACAUCAAACUUGGAUACUCUCUACUUGUGAAUUAUGGAUUAUGGAAAAAAUAAAUAUCACUUUGAUUUGAACUGCAACGCCAUUAGCAUGAUAUUUAUGGCAACAUCUUGCCAACAUGACACACAUCCUCUUCCUCAUACAGUUGUAAGCAUUGGCAUACCAUAGAAACUAAAACUAUAUCAAAGCCACGCAUACACCUUGUUCUGUUACAAUGUUAUCUUGAUCAACCAACACAUAUGAAUAUGUAAACCACAUCCUGUUUUUAUUAGUCACAAGAUCCAAGAGAUACCAAUAUGCUAGAUCUACUCAAAGGGCCUUUGAUACAUGGACACUCUACCUAAGAUACUAAGAUCACACUAGGGACUUGUACUAAAAUGUAACAACAAACUAUGAGAUAAAUUAGUUUGAUAUGUGAAGGACAGCUCCCCUCUUAUUAAGUGACUGAAUAUGACCAUAUAAUGAAUACACAAAUCUCAUAUUUUACAGUAUAUAAAAUUAAAGGCUAAGAGGUAUUUAGAUUAAACAUCAAAUGUAACACAUAAAUGAAGCAAUUCUUUAUGUGUGCCCACAUAAGCCCUAAUACUUGAAUUUGUAAAUUAUAUUCUUGAUUGUUUGAUAUCUACUUGAAGCCAAUUAAAAUUUCUUAGAAAGAAAAAGGCUCUUGCUUUAUGCUAUGGUUUGUGAAUCAUUGAUUUGAGGGUGGGAGGCACACUAAAGUUCACAGACAUGAUAGAACACAACUGUUAGUUGGGAAACUGAUGUAGGAACAGUUACAUGUGAAGAAAAAAUUCUCAACGUGGUAAUCAAGGUACGACGUUGUGAAGAAUGGAAUGCAUAUGGGAAACCAUUGAAAAUCAUCAGGUAUCUUUUUGCGGUAUGUCGAUCUUUCCUGUCACAUAAAUUUCUUAAAACUCUAAACCUCAGUCACAUGCCCAUCCAAUCCCCUUGUUAGAAAAAACCAGAUUUUGUUUACCGCAUGGGUUCCAAUGCUUGGGUGCACAAAUGUUUUUUCCCUAAUAACAAUUACAAUGCUAUAUCUAGGCUUGCAAGAAUCUAAGGCAUAAAGGUUAACAUUGCGAUGCAGACACCACAGCAAUUAAUCGAUCAUUUCUAUUCAUUUAGGACCAUUUCUUUUAUACUUAUUCUAAGAAGCUAGGUAUAAGUGCGUAGGGAAUGAGUUUACCUUCUGAAAUGGGGAGAAUGCACAUCCCAACAAAGCAUUUUACUAAAGCAUACUUCAUCAUGGGCAACCAUGGAUGAUUUAAUCAAAAGACUAGCUAUAGGAUCUUACAAAGUGAUCUAUAAGCAAAUAUGCUUAGCGUAGUCUAGAACCUCAUCAUCUCUAACCUACCUAGCCCAUGCACCCUU
rnacentral:lncRNA from 1 species